rnacentral:rRNA from 1 species
UUUUAUUAAUAACUUAAUUAAUUUUUUAUUUACAUUAUUUUAAUAGAAAUAACUUUUAUUUUAGUAUAGUUUAUUGAACAAAUUAUUAUUUUUAUAGUUAAUAGUACUGUGAAGGAAGGAUUUAAUAUAUAAAAAGUAAAAUUAAUUUUUUGUACCUUUUGUAUCAGGGUUAAUUAAAUUAAUUAACUAAUUGUUAUUUUCCCGAAGUGAAGAGAGAUAAAAUUCUAUGUUUUUAAUGUUUCAUAAUUAUUAAGAAUUGAAUUUUAGGAAUGAAAUGUUAUUCGUUCUUUAUAUAUCUGGUUUUCUUGGAAUUAAAUUUAAUUUAGGAUACAAAAGUUAAAUUGAUAAUUUUUAUUUAAUUUUAUUUCUGUAUCAAAUAUUCUUGGGGAUAAGCUCAAGAAUAUAUCUAUAAUUUUUAUUAUAAGUAAUUAUCGUAGGCUUAGAAUCAGUCAUCACAAAUUUCGUUAUAGAAUAUAUUACAAUAUAAUUUAUUUUAAAUAAAUUUUAGUUUUUUACAAGAGUAAAUCACUUAACCUAAAAUUGAUUUGAGAUAAUGAUUAAAAUUAGUAUAUAUUAAAAAUAAGUUAUAGUAACUCGGCAAAUAUUAUAUUUCGCCUGUUUAACAAAAACAUGUCCUUUUGUUUGUAAAUAUAAGGUCUAACCUGCCCAAUGAUUUUUAUUUAAUGGCCGCGGUAUAUUAACUGUGCUAAGGUAGCAUAAUCAUUUGUCUUUUAAUUGGAGGCUAGAAUGAAUGGUUGGACGAGAUAUAAUCUUUCUUUAACUUAUCUUUAGAAUUUAAUUUUUUAGUUAAAAAGCUAAAAUAUUUUUGAGGGACGAGAAGACCCUAUAGAUCUUUAUAUCUUAAUAUAUUAUGUAUUUUGGUGAAUGAAUUAUUUAUAAUAAAUUAAGAUAUUUGGUUGCAAGGGUUCGACUGCGGAAUUUAUUCAACUUCUGUUUUAAGUUUUCAUUAAUUAGUGUAAUUUAAUUGAUCCAUUAUUAAUGAUUAAAAGAUUAAGUUACCUUAGGGAUAACAGCGUAAUUUCCUCGGAGAGUUCUUAUCGAUGAGGAAGUUUGCGACCUCGAUGUUGGAUUAAAAUAAGUUUUGGGUGUAGAAGUUUAUAAACUAGGUCUGUUCGACCUUUAAUAUUUUACAUGAUCUGAGUUCAGACCGGCGUAAGCCAGGUCAGUUUCUAUCUUCAAAUAAAAAUUUAAAUCUUAGUACGAAAGGACCGGGUUUAAGGAAAAUUUUUUUUAAUUUGAUUAUUAUU